UGUGUGUGUGUGUGUGUGUGUGUGUGUGUGUGUGUGUGUGUGUGUGUGUGAGUGUGUGUGUGUGUGUGUGUGUGCGUAGGGGGGGAAUACGUGUGUAGCUUGUACUGUAUAUUAGGUUGCUGUGGAAGGGGAAACAUUGAAAGGUGACAAUCACAUUGGAGAAAUGGCAGAGUGAAAUGGCAGUCAGAAUUGACAUCUGAAUUGGCAGUGUGAAAUGGCAGUGUGAAAUUGCAGUGUGAAAUGGCAGUGUGAAAUUGUGUGCAGUGGUUCACAGUGUAAAGCGUAAAAGGAUAUUCACAUUGUAAAGUGUUAACUACUGAGCACCGGAGGGCAAUGAUGAGUGGUCAGAUCAUGCAGGGAGACAAAGCACUAAUAUCCUGUCUAAAAUGCCUUACAACAGUAGCCAUACUUCUUCAUCCUCAGCAUGUUUUCAUCACUUUAAGGCUGGUUUACAGUUGGUCUAUCGACAUGUUUGCAGACAGUCGCAGUGACUUCCCUGUGCUUCCCAGUGCCUUCCCUGUAGCUCAGUUGGUAGAGCAUGGUGUUUGCAACACCAGGGUUGUGGGUUCGAUUCCCACGGGGGGCCAGCACAGAAAAAAAAAAAAAUGUAUGAAAUGUAUGCAUUCACUACUGUAAGUCGCUCUGGAUAAGAGCGUCUGCUAAAUGACUAAAAUGUUUAAAAAAAAAUGUAAAAAUGUGACGUCAUGAACAUUCUAUUGUCAUCCGACAUCAAAUUUGUCGUUGUCGUUAUGAAAAAUAAUAAACUCAAAAACGACAGGCUGCAUGACACCACAGCCCGAUGCUCCAAAAAGCGUAGCUGCUGUAUUUAAACACUUAUCAAUCAAUCAAAUGUAUUUAUAAAGCCUUUUUUACAUCAGCCGAUGUCACAAAGUGCUGUACAGAAACCCAGCCUAAAACCCCAAACAGCAAGCAGUGAGAUGUAGAAGCACUCAUCCAUUUAGUAUACAUUAAUCUGACAAGCCAGGCAAUUAAACGCUUCUAAACAAUGUUUUGGUUAGUUUCUAUCUUAUUUAAAUAAUGACCAGAUCAUAGCUGACAAUGUCUUGACUACAGCACAUUUUUUAUUCAUUAUUACAGGAAAAUAAACUCAACAAGAUCAUUAUUUACAAGGUAAUGGCGAGCUAAUUACAGAAAAGAACUUAACGUUUUGAGCGUGACGAAAUAAAAGCAGGGCAUUCUACCGGAGAAUUGUUGAACUUGUGCACUGUUUCGUUGCUGUCUCAGCGAGGUAAACAUGUCAACAGACGCUGCGACAAGGUCAAAGUUGAACAUGCUUCAUCUGUCCCUGAAAAGGGAACCGACAGUCUACAGGCAUUCCACCGGAGUAUAAAUGAAUGACCAGCGACACCUGUCACAUUCUAAUUGUCUACAGACAUGUCUUAAGACCAAGUAUAAACCAGCCUUUACAAUUCAUAGUAGUUUGGGAUUAAUAAACACAUGAUGCACACAUGACGAACCGUAACCCUGUUUAGUGGUGGACUUCAGCACAUCGAAGUAAGAGUGGUGCACCUUCCUAUACCCAAAAUAAAUAUUGAUUUGAUACUGCUAUUGACUGGGGCUGUCUCAGUGUAAUAGGUGUGUGUACUGUAUAAACUCUGUCUGAUAGUCAUAUAUACAUGUAGAACACAUUUUUUUUUUAGUCAUUUCCGGUCACAACUUGUAGACUUGUUUACGUGCUGCUGUGCGUUUUGUUGCUAACCGUACUUUGCUACCUGCCAACUUUAUGGUGUUUACUUUUUAAUUACCGUUUAUAUUUUUAGUUUUACCCUCGCUCGAAUUUUUUCAUUCAACUUUUUCACUCCGGACGCUUUAUCUGGACGUGGUUCGCCACCAGCCGAAGCUAAGUAGUAAUAUUAACAUGAUGCCUCCUAAUUGCAGUCGCUGUACUCAUAAUAUACAGGAGAACGAUCGCCUUAUGGUGAGGAUAGCUGUGCUGCAAGCCCAGCUUCAGACGCUAUCGUUAGGCAAGGGUAAUUUAAGUGUAGGAAAGGAUGUAACAGCGUCUGUGCCACCAGUAAGUACAGAUAGUAGUAUAAAUCUCCUCGCACAGUCCCCGCAGACGGACAACCUUCUCAUGGCUUCCGGAAGGAAACACUGUAGGAAUGCUCAACCGGUGUUGCUCAUUCAGCCGACAGAAACUUUCAACCUGUUCUCCCCAUUAAGCAGUGAGUCGGAAUCAGAGGCCAAGCCUUCUCUGGUCUCUACUGCUCCCGUUACGGGAUCUGAGCCGCCGAAGCCUCCCACCAUUAGCUCUGACAAAUUGAAAACCCUAGUCAUUGGCGACUUCAUUACCCACAGUAUUAGACUUAAAACGAAUCAUCCAACGAUCAUACACUGUUUACCAGGGGGCAGGGCUACCAACGUUAAGGCUAAUCUGAAGAUAGUGCUGGCUAAAGCUAAAACUGGCGAGUGUAGAGAGUAUAGGGAUAUUGUUAUCCACGUCGGCACCAACGAUGUUAGGAUGAAACAGUCAGAGGUCACCAAGCGCAACAUAGCUUCAGCGUGUAAAUCAGCUAGAAUGAUGUGUCGGCAUUGAGUAAUUGUCUCUGGCCCCCUCCCAGUUAGGGGGAGUGAUGAGCUCUACAGCAGAGUCUCACAACUCAAUCGCUGGUUGAAAACUGUUUUCUGCCCCUCCCAAAAGAUAGAAUUUGAGGAUAAUUGGCCCUCUUUCUGGACUCACCACAAACAGGACCAAGCCUGGCCUGUUGAGGAGUGACGGACUCCAUCCUAGCUGGAGGGGUGCUCUCAUCUUAUCUAGACAGGGCUCUAACUCCCCUAGCUCCACAUUGAAAUAGGGUGCAGUCCAGGCAGCAGGCUGUUAGCCAGCCUGCCAGCUUAGUGGAGUCUGCCACUAGCACAAUCAGUGUAGUCAGCUCAGCUAUCCCCAUUGAGACCAUGUCUGUGCCUCGACCUAGGUUGGGCAAAACUAAACAUGGCGAUGUUUGCCUUAGCAAUCUCACUGGAAUAAAGACUACCUCCAUUCCUGCCAUUAUUGAAAGAGAU
rnacentral:lncRNA from 1 species